rnacentral:rRNA from 1 species
GUGCUUAACACAUGCAAGUCGAACGCUGAAGCACCAGCUUGCUGGUGUGGAUGAGUGGCGAACGGGUGAGUAAUACGUGAGUAACCUGCCCUUGACUCUGGGAUAAGCCCGGGAAACUGGGUCUAAUACUGGAUGCUACAUGUCACCGCAUGGUGGUGUGUGGAAAGGGUUUACUGGUCUUGGAUGGGCUCACGGCCUAUCAGCUUGUUGGUGAGGUAAUGGCUCACCAAGGCGACGACGGGUAGCCGGCCUGAGAGGGUGACCGGCCACACUGGGACUGAGACACGGCCCAGACUCCUACGGGAGGCAGCAGUGGGGAAUAUUGCACAAUGGGCGAAAGCCUGAUGCAGCGACGCCGCGUGAGGGAUGACGGCCUUCGGGUUGUAAACCUCUUUCAGCAGGGAAGAAGCCACAAGUGACGGUACCUGCAGAAGAAGCGCCGGCUAACUACGUGCCAGCAGCCGCGGUAAUACGUAGGGCGCAAGCGUUGUCCGGAAUUAUUGGGCGUAAAGAGCUCGUAGGCGGUUUGUCGCGUCUGCUGUGAAAGCCCGGGGCUUAACCCCGGGUGUGCAGUGGGUACGGGCAGACUAGAGUGCAGUAGGGGAGACUGGAAUUCCUGGUGUAGCGGUGGAAUGCGNUNNAUNUCAGGAGGAACACCGAUGGCGAAGGCAGGNNNNNNGGUG